rnacentral:rRNA from 1 species
UACGAAGGGGGCUAGCGUUGCUCGGAAUCACUGGGCGUAAAGCGCACGUAGGCGGAUCUUUAAGUCGGGGGUGAAAUCCUGGAGCUCAACUCCAGAACUGCCUUCGAUACUGAAGAUCUCGAGUCCGGGAGAGGUGAGUGGAACUGCGAGUGUAGAGGUGAAAUUCGUAGAUAUUAGGAAGAACACCAGUGGCGAAGGCGGCUCACUGGUCCGGUACUGACGCUGAGGUGCGAAAGCGUGGGGAGCAAACAGG